UACGGAGGGUGCGAGCGUUACCCGGAUUUACUGGGUGUAAAGGGCGUGUCGGCGGUCCCUCAAGUCCGAUGCUAAAGACCGAGGCUCAACCUCGGGAGUGCGUUGGAUACUGUGAGGCUAGACGGUCGGAGAGGGCAGCGGAAUUCUCGGAGUAGCGGUGAAAUGCGCAGAUACCGAGAGGAACGCCAAUAGCGAAGGCAACUGCCUGGACGUUUUGUGACGCUGAGUCGCCACAGCGUGGGGAGCAAACCGG
rnacentral:rRNA from 1 species